rnacentral:lncRNA from 1 species
UACAAUCAAGCAAGGUUCCUUGUGCGCAACUGAUGGUUCCCCGAAUCGGAUUGGGUGGGGUUCCGUCAAUAAAGAAGGACGCUAUGGCCUUGCAAGGUUUCAAGUUGAGGAAUAUUGCAAGGUUCCUUGUGCGCAUCAGAGGGUUCCCCCGUUCGGAUUGGGUGGGGUUCCGACAUUAGAAAGAGGAGGGUUCUCGCUCGCGAUAUGACGGACAUGUACCAACUAUAUACAAGGAGCGUUAUCAAUCAUCAAGAUGGUGGGGGCCUGCCCCGCGGGGGGAGGGGGGUUGUAUGGAUGUGCAUAUAGAGAGCUCCAACGUUAUACAGACAUAGGUUUGAGUGCGCGAAGAAGAGAAAUCACAUCAACAAAUCGGUGUGCCCCCGUCGUUGGACCACACGCGGGGCGAUUGUUUCGCCGCCAUAUACAUACAAUCAAGCAAGGUUCCUUGUGCGCAACUGAUGGUUCCCCGAAUCGGAUUGGGUGGGGUUCCGUCAAUAAAGAAGGACGCUAUGGCCUUGCAAGGUUUCAAGUUGAGGAAUAUUGCAAGGUUCCUUGUGCGCAACAGAGGGUUCCCCCGUCGGAUUGGGUGGGGUUCCGACAUUAGAAAGAGGAGGGUUCUCGCUCGCGAUAUGGCGGACAUUGUAAAACUCGUAUGCCUCCUGCUCAGAGUUGAAAGACAUGCCCACAGCUGGUUCGAAGACAAUCUUCUUUCCGAGCUUCACUGCUUCAUCCAUCGCCCUCUCGAUUGCCCUCCGCUGCUGCUCUGAAUGGCGUCCCAUUUUUAUUCCU